UAGACUUUUCUACUACCUCAGUAGAAAGUGUCAGUGUAUGCUGUAGCAUUAUUCAAACUGUGACAUUCUAGUCUACACAAAGAGCAAUGUGCAUGAUGCAAGUCUAGCCUAGCGCUAGUUAACAGACUCCAAACCCAUCCUAACAGGUGGCCUAGCCACCUGUGACCCGGGCUGCUCUAAAGUGAAAUGUCAUGAAUGGCUCAAACAGUAAUCUAUCUCACUAGAAAGAGUGAUGGCGUCUUCACGGUUAGGAUGAAGGCCGUCCUUCCUCAGCAGGUCGGGGCGGCGUCAGAAGGAGGACCAGUUAUCUAUAAACUGAAGUCCCUGAUUCUUGCAGAAACCAGCCUUCCACCGAUUAAGCCAGAAUAAUCUGCUAAACCUCUCAUCAUUGUCUCUUGCUGGCAAAAAGCCAGAGACAAUUACUCGAGACCGACUCAUCUUUCUGGCGAGAUCACAAGUCCACGCUAUUUUUUUCUUUGUGAUCUCUGAUUGUGUCUUCACAGUAUCAUUGGAGCCGACGUGUAUCACUAUAUUUGAGUAACGAGUGUUGUUGGUGCCAUGCUGUUGACUCGGCCUAUUGCAAGCCAGCUCCCUAAGGUUAGAUUCAAUGUCUGGUGCUCCGGCUCUAGGGAUACACAUUACUGUGGCUGGAUUUUUAGCGAGAUGUUACGGGUAAUAGAGUCUACUAUGACCAAAGUGCGAGAGCCAGUAUACCGAGGUGGCUUGGCAAGCCGCUUGGGGCUAAUGCUAACUGGGGUAGCAGUUUGACUACAGCCCGCUUUUGUGUCCGCCUCAUCUACGGUUAUCGAGUUGUUCUGCCCUAGCUGGCGGACACGCCCCUCUAGCAGGGACAACCUCUCUAAAAGAAGGGUGCAGGUGGUGCAUGGAGCCUUACAAACCUGUUGAUCUGAAGCCAUACUUACGUGUUCGGUGAACAACGGUAGACAGACAGCCACGAAGCUCCGCUGAAAGCCGAGCAGUGACGUGGUCAAAAUGGCAAGGAUUGACGGUCUGCAGCUUACAAACAAUAGUUAACUCCCAAGAGUGGAGU